GCAGAGGUGCUGGAAUUGGCAGACAGGCAUGUUUGAGGGGCAUGUGCAUGUAUAUGCGUGAGGGUUCGAGUCCCUUUCUCUGCACCA
rnacentral:tRNA from 1 species